GACGAACGCUGGCGGCGUGCCUAAUGCAUGCAAGUAGAACGCACAGUUUAUACCGUAGCUUGCUACACCAUAAACUGUGAGUUGCGAACGGGUGAUUAACGCGUAGGUAACCUGCCUGGUAGCGGGUGAUAACUAUUGGAAACGAUAGCUAAUACCGCAUAAUAUUAAUUAUUGCAUGAUAAUUGAUUGAAAGAUGCAAUUGCAUCACUACCUGAUGGACCUGCGUUGUAUUAGCUAGUAGGUGAGGUAACGGCUCACCUAGGCGACGAUACAUAUCCGACCUGGGAGGGUGAUCGGCCACACUGGGAAUGAGACACGGCCCAGACUCCUACGGGAGGCAGCAGUAGGGAAUCUUCGGCAAUGGACGAAAGUCUGAACGAGCAACGCCGCGUGAGUGAAGAAGGUUUUCGGAUCGUAAAGCUCUGUUGUAAGAGAAGAACGGGAGUGGGAGUGGAAAGUUCACACUGUGACGGUACCUAACCAGAAAGGGACGGCUAACUACGUG
rnacentral:rRNA from 1 species